rnacentral:lncRNA from 1 species
AUCCUUCUUCUUCACUAAUAAUACCGGAGCACCCCACGGUGAAACGCUGGGUCGUAUGAAGCCCUUAUCUAAUAAUUCUUAUAGUUGCUUCUUUAAUUCCUCUAGCUCGAGUGGUGCCAUUCUGUAGGGAGGCUUAGAUAUUGGGGUUGUACUGGGGACCAGAUCAAUAACAAAUUCACCCUCUCUAUCUAGAGGUAAACCAGGCAAGUCAUCUGGGAAUACAUCAGGGAACUCUUUGACCACUGAAAUUUCAUCUAGAUGGGUUUCCUGAUUUGAAUGCUCCUUUACACACACCAUAUAACAAAGACAACCCUUCUGCAUAAAACGAUAAGCUUGAAGUGCUGAUAUCAAGUAAGGAGGCAAAUCAUGCCUUGUUGAAUCUCGUAUUUUGAUGAUGAAACUACUUGAUAUAUGUUUAUGAUUUAAUCUGCGUUUUGAGUGACGCAGGAUGCUUUGAUCAAGAUGAGACAAUUAAAGCAGGAAAAUCAUGUUGUGCCGGAGGAACAUGUCAGAAGAUUGGACGUCGGGCCGGUAGAUCGGUCGACGUAUCGACAGAAGGCUUCGGGCAGUGGACUCGGGCAUCGGGCCAAGAAGAGCGGUUAUUGUGCCAAGGAUAUCGGAGUUGCG